GAUGAACGCUGGCGGCGUGCCUAAUACAUGCAAGUCGAGCGAACGGACGAGAAGCUUGCUUCUCUGAUGUUAGCGGCGGACGGGUGAGUAACACGUGGAUAACCUACCUAUAAGACUGGGAUAACUUCGGGAAACCGGAGCUAAUACCGGAUAAUAUUUUGAACCGCAUGGUUCAAAAGUGAAAGACGGUCUUGCUGUCACUUAUAGAUGGAUCCGCCCUGCAUUAGCUAGUUGGUAAGGUAACGGCUUACCAAGGCAACGAUGCAUAGCCGACCUGAGAGGGUGAUCGGCCACACUGGAACUGAGACACGGUCCAAACUCCUACGGGAGGCAGCAGUAGGGAAUCUUCCGCAAUGGGCGAAAGCCUGACGGAGCAACGCCGCGUGAGUGAUGAAGGUCUUCGGAUCGUAAAACUCUGUUAUUAGGGAAGAACAUAUGUGUAAGUAACUGUGCACAUCUUGACGGUACCUAAUCAGAAAGCCACGGCUAACUACGUG
rnacentral:rRNA from 1 species